rnacentral:hammerhead_ribozyme from 1 species
AUCCAUCUGACGAGUCCCAAAUAGGACGAAACACGCCCCUUGGAU